rnacentral:rRNA from 1 species
CGGCGAGGGGAGUGAAAAAGAACCUGAAACCGUGUACGUACAAGCAGUGGGAGCACAGAGCAAUCUGUGUGACUGCGUACCUUUUGUAUAAUGGGUCAGCGACUUAUAUUCUGUAGCAAGGUUAACCGAAUAGGGGAGCCGAAGGGAAACCGAGUCUUAACUGGGCGUUAAGUUGCAGGGUAUAGACCCGAAACCCGGUGAUCUAGCCAUGGGCAGGUUGAAGGUUGGGUAACACUAACUGGAGGACCGAACCGACUAAUGUUGAAAAAUUAGCGGAUGACUUGUGGCUGGGGGUGAAAGGCCAAUCAAACCGGGAGAUAGCUGGUUCUCCCCGAAAGCUAUUUAGGUAGCGCCUCGUGAAUUCAUCUCCGGGGGUAGAGCACUGUUUCGGCAAGGGGGUCAUCCCGACUUACCAACCCGAUGCAAACUGCGAAUACCGGAGAAUGUUAUCACGGGAGACACACGGCGGGUGCUAACGUCCGUCGUGAAGAGGGAAACAACCCAGACCGCCAGCUAAGGUCCCAAAGUCAUGGUUAAGUGGGAAACGAUGUGGGAAGGCCCAGACAGCCAGGAUGUUGGCUUAGAAGCAGCCAUCAUUUAAAGAAAGCGUAAUAGCUCACUGGUCGAGUCGGCCUGCGCGGAAGAUGUAACGGGGCUAAACCAUGCACCGAAGCUGCGGCAGCGACACUGUGUGUUGUUGGGUAGGGGAGCGUUCUGUAAGCCUGUGAAGGUGUGCUGUGAGGCAUGCUGGAGGUAUCAGAAGUGCGAAUGCUGACAUAAGUAACGAUAAAGCGGGUGAAAAGCCCGCUCGCCGGAAGACCAAGGGUUCCUGUCCAACGUUAAUCGGGGCAGGGUGAGUCGACCCCUAAGGCGAGGCCGAAAGGCGUAGUCGAUGGGAAACAGGUUAAUAUUCCUGUACUUGGUGUUACUGCGAAGGGGGGACGGAGAAGGCUAUGUUGGCCGGGCGACGGUUGUCCCGGUUUAAGCGUGUAGGCUGGUUUUCCAGGCAAAUCCGGAAAAUCAAGGCUGAGGCGUGAUGACGAGGCACUACGGUGCUGAAGCAACAAAUGCCCUGCUUCCAGGAAAAGCCUCUAAGCAUCAGGUAACAUCAAAUCGUACCCCAAACCGACACAGGUGGUCAGGUAGAGAAUACCAAGGCGCUUGAGAGAACUCGGGUGAAGGAACUAGGCAAAAUGGUGCCGUAACUUCGGGAGAAGGCACGCUGAUAUGUAGGUGAAGUCCCUCGCGGAUGGAGCUGAAAUCAGUCGAAGAUACCAGCUGGCUGCAACUGUUUAUUAAAAACACAGCACUGUGCAAACACGAAAGUGGACGUAUACGGUGUGACGCCUGCCCGGUGCCGGAAGGUUAAUUGAUGGGGUCAGCGCAAGCGAAGCUCUUGAUCGAAGCCCCGGUAAACGGCGGCCGUAACUAUAACGGUCCUAAGGUAGCGAAAUUCCUUGUCGGGUAAGUUCCGACCUGCACGAAUGGCGUAAUGAUGGCCAGGCUGUCUCCACCCGAGACUCAGUGAAAUUGAACUCGCUGUGAAGAUGCAGUGUACCCGCGGCAAGACGGAAAGACCCCGUGAACCUUUACUAUAGCUUGACACUGAACAUUGAGCCUUGAUGUGUAGGAUAGGUGGGAGGCUUUGAAGUGUGGACGCCAGUCUGCAUGGAGCCGACCUUGAAAUACCACCCUUUAAUGUUUGAUGUUCUAACGUGGACCCGUGAUCCGGGUUGCGGACAGUGUCUGGUGGGUAGUUUGACUGGGGCGGUCUCCUCCUAAAGAGUAACGGAGGAGCACGAAGGUUGGCUAAUCCUGGUCGGACAUCAGGAGGUUAGUGCAAUGGCAUAAGCCAGCUUGACUGCGAGCGUGACGGCGCGAGCAGGUGCGAAAGCAGGUCAUAGUGAUCCGGUGGUUCUGAAUGGAAGGGCCAUCGCUCAACGGAUAAAAGGUACUCCGGGGAUAACAGGCUGAUACCGCCCAAGAGUUCAUAUCGACGGCGGUGUUUGGCACCUCGAUGUCGGCUCAUCACAUCCUGGGGCUGAAGUAGGUCCCAAGGGUAUGGCUGUUCGCCAUUUAAAGUGGUACGCGAGCUGGGUUUAGAACGUCGUGAGACAGUUCGGUCCCUAUCUGCCGUGGGCGCUGGAGAACUGAGGGGGGCUGCUCCUAGUACGAGAGGACCGGAGUGGACGCAUCACUGGUGUUCGGGUUGUCAUGCCAAUGGCACUGCCCGGUAGCUAAAUGCGGAAGAGAUAAGUGCUGAAAGCAUCUAAGCACGAAACUUGCCCCGAGAUGAGUUCUCCCUGACCCUUUAAGGGUCCUGAAGGAACGUUGAAGACGACGACGUUGAUAGGCCGGGUGUGUAAGCGCAGCGAUGCGUUGAGCUAACCGGUACUAAUGAACCGUGAGGCUUAACCUUACAACGCCGAAGGUGUUU